rnacentral:rRNA from 1 species
GAACGGUAACAGGGAGCUUGCUCCGCUGACGAGUGGCGAAGGGGUGAGUAAUGCAUCGGAACGUACCCAGUCGUGGGGGAUAACGUAGCGAAUGUUACGCUAAUACCGCAUACGUCCUGAGGGAGAAAGCGGGGGACCGUAAUGCCUCGCGCGAUUGGAGCGGCCGAUGUCGGAUUAGCUAGUUGGUGGGGUAAAGGCCUACCAAGGCAACGAUCCGUAUCGGGUCUGAGAGGAUGAUCCGCCACACUGGGACUGAAACACGGCCCAGACUCCUACGGGAGGCAGCAGUGGGGAAUUUUGGACAAUGGGCGAAAGCCUGAUCCAGCCAUGCCGCGUGAGUGAAGAAGGCCUUCGGGUUGUAAAGCUCUUUCAGACGGAAAGAAAUCUUCUGGGCUAAUACCCCGGGAGGAUGACGGUACCGUAAGAAGAA